ACUCAGGACUUUGCACUUGCAAGGCAGGCGGCAGAACCACUGAGCUAAAUCCCCGGCCCUUGAAUUUUAAUGAGUUGAACUAAGUGAUAGAGACAAAAGUAAAUAUAUACACAAUAUUAGAGAAGCAUAAAUGCUACUGAGAACAAUAAUAGGGAAGGAAGGCCUCAAUGAGCUGACACGGGUAAAAUCCACAAGUGGAGAGGGAGGAGGCAUAUGAACAUUUCUGGAAAGAAUGUUCAGAGGGAACAGUUAGUGCAAGGAUUUGGAAUAUUUGAGGAAGAGCAAGAGAGCCAUUGAAUCUAGCAUAGUGAGGAAAGGGGACAAGAAUAAGGGUGAAAUUAGACAGGAGGCAAGAAGAAUCUGAUUCUGUGAUCAAAUUAAUAGGACUUGGUAGACUCUAACAGGACUCAAGCUUUAAUGAACAUGAUAUAGGAAGCUUUGGAGGAUUUAAAUGGAGGAGUAACAUGAUCUGCAUUCCUUGUCACUGGGUUACUCUGGCUGCUGGGCUGGAAGCAGAAGGGGCAAAAGCAGAGAGCAGAGGCCAGUUCAGUGUUCUUGCCAAUGCUGGUGGCUGGGAACCGAUCACAGCAUGGAAGUGGCAAGAGUGGUUGGGUUUGGGAUAUAAUUUGAAGGAACAGCUGGAUGGUGUAUGAAUAAAGGAAAUGAGAGACAAAGUGAUUCUCAGGUUUCGGACCACAGCAAGCAGAGUUGUCCAGUAUUAAGACAGGGAAGUCUGCGGGAUAAGUAAGUUUGAGAGAACUAAGGGUUUCAGGCAUGAAUGCCCUGGAUGUUCAAAGAAGGCAACCACUGCUGUAAUAGGAGGGAGCCAGGUGGAGGGUUUGGCAGGUACCAGAACGAUGGGCCUAAAGGAAGCAUGGCUUUGACUAGGGGGCAAGGCACUCCCAAGUGUGAAAAGCAAAGGUAAGUGGGUGGUCACACUUCUUUCUGCAAUGCACACAGUUUGGGGUGGAGGGUGGUUUCUACAGUUUGGAUGGUUUGGGAAAUACUCAUGGACAUUUUCAGAGGCCCAAAUAUGUACAAGGGCUGCUCUGUUUUCAACAUGUUAGCUCAUUUCGUUGUCCACCCAGCUAUUUGUGGAACUACUGUACCUCAUUUUAUAAAAGAGGCUUUCCCAGCCACCUAAAAUAACAACCCUCACUGCCUCCAUUUGUCUCUGCCAUCCAUUCCCUACCACUCGCUCUGUUUUUCUUUAGCAUUCAUUUGAUAUGAUAUUGCUUAUCUAUAUGUUUAUUUAUAUUUCUGUCUCCAUCAGAGUACAAGCUUCAUAAGGACAGGGUCUUUGAUUCAUCCUAAUAUUUCCUGUGCCUGGAAGAGUGCCUCACAUAUGCCAGAUGUUCCAUCUUAUAGAUGGUGAAACAGGCAAGAGAAGAUCAUAUGACCACACAGCUGCAAGUGACAAUGAUGUUUUAGAACCUAGAACCUGUCAGACACCAAGUCCAGCCUUAACUCUUCAUGACCUCAUUGUACUUACGUGGCAGAGAGUGCAAGAGGAAAGGCUGGAAAAUGGGCGUAAGCCUGAAAUAUAAGACAUGUAUGUUGAAGGAUAUAGGGGACUUUACUUCUGAACCAUUAAUAAAUGUGAUCACAAAUUAUUUUAAUGCUUUAUUCUUCCUCCUGGUCUGGGGGUAUGUUAAAAUCUUGGUGUUGGGCUGGGGAUUUAGUCAGUGGUUCUGCUGCCUGCCUCACAAGUGCAAGGUCCCGAGUUUGAUCCCCAGUACCAAACCAAACCAAACCAAACAAAAAUCUUCAUGCCUGCUGAGUCGCCUGCAUGGGAGAAAGACUGAAAGUUAAAGGAACCCAAAAGGAACAAAAGUAGUAAGAACUCAGAUUAAAAUACUGAGAAUGGUAAGAUAAACUUCAUUUUCUUGUGGUGUACCUCCUAGGAUGAGCUCCUAAGGUGUAGAAGCUUUGAAGCUCAGAGGAUUGUAUUUCAAAUGUGCGGCAGGUUACUUUCAGCUGCCUUGUUAGAUGUUUUGUUCAUCUCUCUAGAAUACCUGCCUACCAUGUUCAAGGCCUGGGUCUGAUCCCCAGUAAUAUAAAACAACAGUAACAACCAACCUUGGUAAUUUCCAAAGAAGAAACAAUAACCAAAUUAGGUCCAGCAACCUUUGAACUUUGACCACACUUGCUCUGCCUCUACCCUCCUUUAAGCUUCCUUCCUAUAUGAGAGAAAGCUGCUCCCUUACUUUGGGUUUGAAAGCCAUUGCCUCUACUCUUGAAGUAAGUACAAAGAAGAAAGCAAAGGAGGAAGACACAAGAGCCCCUUCUUGCCUAAUUUUUGGAAGCUCCCAAAGCUAUAAUUUUUGCAAGGGGUUGUGUUUACUUCCAACAGAGACUUAGAGGCCCUGAGGUUACUAUGGCUCUAUGCACCGGGCUCAACAGGCAGAAGAGACUGCAAGGGAUGGAAGGACAUGCAAGAAAUGCAUGGGAUGUCCAUGUAAACUAAAGUAUAUAAGGAAAGUCAGAAGAAAGCAAGACAGCAGAAAAGAAGGGAUGCCUCAGAAAUAACCUGGGAGAAAAGGAUGUGGGAAGUGGAAUGGAAAAAAUAUAAUGGGGCAAUUAAAGGAAAGAGGUGAGUUAUAGCACACUCUCAAUGGAUCAGAAAAGAACCAUUGUCUAUCCUCAAAAAGACCAGCAACUUCUGUCAGUAUGACCACAUUAAUUUAGGAAAUGGUGACAACAUUCACAUUUUUAACAUUGGUACCUUCAAGUGUGGAGUUAAAUGGAUGAGGGACUUGAACAUCUACAUAAUAGAGUGCUGAUACUAUGUAUGAUUUUUACUUCUUUUUCUUUUUUUUUCUCAGUAAAUAUUUUUCAAAUACAAAUACUUUUUAAAUGGGACAGUUAUAAAAAAAAAACAUGUUAAGUGGCCAGGGAUUUAGCUCAGUGGUUCCACUGCCUGCCUUGGAAGCACAAGGUCCUGAGUUCAAUCCCUGGUACCAAAAAACAAACAAACAAACAUGUUAAGUGUUUGAGUUAUGAUAAAACAAGGCAUAAAAUCAUUUUGAAGAUAUAUUGAAAAGACAGAUCUUUGAACUUUGAAAAUUUAAGAAAAGAAGUUGUUUAAAUAGAUUUUUAAAAAGAGCAUUAUCUUUCAGACCUGUCCAGGGCCAGGACACUACUUCCUGGCCAGUUACAGCUGUAUGAAAUAAGCAGGUAUUGGGUAGGGGGAGGAGAACCUGCUCCAAAGACCCUACUCAUUAAGCUCAGUUUCUAAGCUAGCUUUGCUGCUCACACUACUCAUUACAAAG